rnacentral:rRNA from 1 species
GUAGGUGGCAAGCGUUGUCCGGAAUUAUUGGGCGUAAAGCGUGCGCAGGCGGUUCUUUAAGUCUGAUGUGAAAGCCCACGGGCUCAACCGUGGAGGGUCAUUGGAAACUGGAGAACUUGAGUACAGAAGAGGAAAGCGGAAUUCCACGUGUAGCGGUGAAAUGCGUAGAGAUGUGGAGGAACACCAGUGGCGAAGGCGGCUUUCUGGUCUGUAACUGACGCUGAGGCGCGAAAGCGUGGGGAGCAAACAGGAUUAGAUACCCUGGUAGUCCACGCCGUAAACGAUGAGUGCUAAGUGUUAGGGGGUUUCCGCCCCUUAGUGCUGCAGCUAACGCAUUAAGCACUCCGCCUGGGGAGUACGGCCGCAAGGCUG